ACCCGAAGUCCCAACAUAGAGAGCGAUGGUUUCACAUUAUUCAUGACAAGCUACAUUAAGGUGCAGAGAAUAGUCUCCAUGGAUAGCAUGGCAGAUCCAUUGAUUAAACUACUUAGCCAAUAAAAGACUAAAGUAUAUUUUGAGAAGAUGGGACUUAGGUAUAUGGCUAAUUGACUUUAGUGUAAAUAGAAGAUUGUUAGAUGUAUGUCCUAUAAGUCAAUCAGGCA
rnacentral:lncRNA from 1 species